UACGUAGGGUGCAAGCGUUAAUCGGAAUUACUGGGCGUAAAGCGUGCGCAGGCGGUUCGCUAAGACCGAUGUGAAAUCCCCCGGGCUUAACCUGGGAACUGCAUUGGUGACUGGCGGGCUAGAGUAUGGCAGAGGGGGGGUAGAAUUCCACGUGUAGCAGUGAAAUGCGUAGAGAUGUGGAGGAAUACCGAUGGCGAAGGCAGCCCCCUGGGCUAACACUGACGCUCAGGCACGAAAGCGUGGGGAGCAAACAGG
rnacentral:rRNA from 1 species